rnacentral:rRNA from 1 species
AUGGCUCAGGACGAACGCUGGCGGCGUGCUUAACACAUGCAAGUCGAACGGAAAGGCCCUGCUUUUGUGGGGUGCUCGAGUGGCGAACGGGUGAGUAACACGUGAGUAACCUGCCCUUGACUUUGGGAUAACUUCAGGAAACUGGGGCUAAUACCGGAUAGGAGCUCCUGCUGCAUGGUGGGGGUUGGAAAGUUUCGGCGGUUGGGGAUGGACUCGCGGCUUAUCAGCUUGUUGGUGGGGUAGUGGCUUACCAAGGCUUUGACGGGUAGCCGGCCUGAGAGGGUGACCGGCCACAUUGGGACUGAGAUACGGCCCAGACUCCUACGGGAGGCAGCAGUGGGGAAUAUUGCACAAUGGGCGGAAGCCUGAUGCAGCAACGCCGCGUGCGGGAUGACGGCCUUCGGGUUGUAAACCGCUUUCGCCUGUGACGAAGCGUGAGUGACGGUAAUGGGUAAAGAAGCACCGGCUAACUACGUGCCAGCAGCCGCGGUGAUACGUAGGGUGCGAGCGUUGUCCGGAUUUAUUGGGCGUAAAGGGCUCGUAGGUGGUUGAUCGCGUCGGAAGUGUAAUCUUGGGGCUUAACCCUGAGCGUGCUUUCGAUACGGGUUGACUUGAGGAAGGUAGGGGAGAAUGGAAUUCCUGGUGGAGCGGUGGAAUGCGCAGAUAUCAGGAGGAACACCAGUGGCGAAGGCGGUUCUCUGGGCCUUUCCUGACGCUGAGGAGCGAAAGCGUGGGGAGCGAACAGGCUUAGAUACCCUGGUAGUCCACGCUGUAAACGGUGGGUACUAGGUGUGGGGUCCAUUCCACGGGUUCCGUGCCGUAGCUAACGCUUUAAGUACCCCGCCUGGGGAGUACGGCCGCAAGGCUAAAACUCAAAGGAAUUGACGGGGCCCCGCACAAGCGGCGGAGCAUGCGGAUUAAUUCGAUGCAACGCGUAGAACCUUACCUGGGUUUGACAUGGAUCGGGAGUGCUCAGAGAUGGGUGUGCCUCUUUUGGGGUCGGUUCACAGGUGGUGCAUGGCUGUCGUCAGCUCGUGUCGUGAGAUGUUGGGUUAAGUCCCGCAACGAGCGCAACCCUUGUUCACUGUUGCCAGCACGUUAUGGUGGGGACUCAGUGGAGACCGCCGGGGUCAACUCGGAGGAAGGUGGGGAUGACGUCAAGUCAUCAUGCCCCUUAUGUCCAGGGCUUCACGCAUGCUACAAUGGCUGGUACAGAGAGUGGCGAGCCUGUGAGGGUGAGCGAAUCUCGGAAAGCCGGUCUCAGUUCGGAUUGGGGUCUGCAACUCGACCUCAUGAAGUCGGAGUCGCUAGUAAUCGCAGAUCAGCAACGCUGCGGUGAAUACGUUCCCGGGGCUUGUACACACCGCCCGUCAAGUCAUGAAAGUUGGUAACACCCGAAGCCGGUGGCCUAACCGUUGUGGGGGAGCCGUCGAAGGUGGGACUGGUGAUUAGGACU